rnacentral:rRNA from 1 species
GCACGGGUAGGUAGAGGCGGGGCGCGGUAGGACGGGCAGGUAGCCACGGGGUGCGUCAAGGCAGGACGGGCAGGUAGCCGCGGGGCGCGAGCAGGCAGGCUCACCGACGAAGUUGAACAUUGGCCCGUCGUACGUAGACUCCAACGUAUCUCUUGGUAACAACCAUGGUAACUCGUCUCCUUCUUCUCAUCGUCUUAGUAACCAUGAAUCACUGGUC